UACCAGCUCUCCAAGUGGUAGGGAUGAUUAUUGGGCUUAAAGCGUCCGUAGCUGGCUUAGCAAGUCUCCUGUUAAAUUCAGCGACCUAAUCGUUGAGCCGCGGGAGAUACUACUAGGCUAGGAGGCGGGAGAGGUCGACGGUACUUUCGGGGUAGGGGUGAAAUCCUAUAAUCCCGGGAGGACCACCAGUGGCGAAGGCUGUCGACUAGAACGCGCUCGACGGUGAGGGACGAAAGCUGGGGGAGCGAACCGGAUUAGAUACCCGGGUAGUCCCAGCUGUAAACUAUGCGGGCUAGGUGUUGGGGUGGCUACGGGCCACUUCAGUGCCGCAGGAAAGCCAUUAAGCCCGCCGCCUGGGGAGUACGGCCGCAAGGCUGAAACUUAAAGGAAUUGGCGGGGAGCACCACAAGGCGUGAAGCUUGCGGUUC
rnacentral:rRNA from 1 species